rnacentral:lncRNA from 1 species
GCGGGGGGAUCGGAGUUAGAGGCAGGGAGGAGGGGGGGAAGUUUCUCGGGGGAGGCAAAAAAAAGUUUUCUCUCCUCUGCAAAAGGCGGGCAGGGCGCCCUAAGUCCAAGGACAAUCCAUGGAAGUGUUCGCUUCUUCACAAGUUGUGCAAACGAUUUGUUAGUUCAUGAGCCUAAUUAGUGCGGGGAUCACAUAAACAGCUUCCUCCGAAGCCUGGUAAAUGGCUUGAUGAUUGGUCGCUAUUACUCGCCCUGAGGUGGAAGGGGGGAGACUCUUUAAAGUGCGUCAGAGAGAGGCGAGCGCCUGGGAACCCGGAGGCCUGGAUCCCGGCCGAGUGUGGAACGGAGUCGGCGCCGCUGCCUCGGCCGAGCCUCCUGCGCCCGCCAGGCCCCCGGCCUCGCCGCGCCUUCUCCCCGCGCUCCAAGCUCACUCGCUCCCGCGGCGCCCGCUGUGGCUUCUCCUCCUCCUCUUUCGCCUCCUCCUCUUCCUUCGGCCUCCUCUCCUCCUUCUCCUCCUCCUCCUCCUCCUCUUCCUCCUUCUUCUCCUCCUCCUCUUCUUCCUCCUCCUCUUUCCCCACCUCCUCCCCUUCUGCCACCGCCUCCUCCUUCACCACCACCACUCCCUCCGGGGCAACCGGGUCCCUGCAGAGUCCCCGGCCCGCGCCGCCUCUGCUGCGGCCCCCUGGAUCCCGAACUGGUGGGACAGACGGACAGACGGACACGCAGAUCCCUCGCGCCCAGCUCUCGGUAGCUGCUGACCCCCGUGGCCCCGCGUCCGGGAAGCUGGGCUCGCCCCCGGAGCACCGCGAGGGUAAGCAGGCAGGGAUGGAUUCCGGGCGAGGGCUAACGGAGCUGUUCGGUUACAUCAGUCCCCACCUCCAGUGGAACUCCAGGCGGUUUCCCAGCGGUUGCAGUCUCCAGGCCUGGCUGCAUGGCGAGGCGAGGCGUCGGAACACGCACAGGAUGCCAAGCCUUCCAGAUGAAGAAUGGAUGACAGUGCCAACCAUGUGGACGUGGAGCUCCCCCAGAUGGGCUUUGGCACAUCUGGCCCAUCUGUAGUAUUUUCUCCAUCCAGCCAGAGGCCACCACUGUGAGACAUUUGCGGAUGUUAACUUUUGACACCUUGGAGAAGAAAAGAAAUUCGAUAUGUCUACGCCUUUUCAUUAUUGUUGUUCCAGUAAAUAAAGAAAGGAAAGAAACACGCUAUGUAGUUCUGUUUCUCUGAAAUUCAUAACUGGAUAGAGAAGUCAGACCAGUGGUUGCCUCGGACAGAGCGUUGGCCACGAAGGAGCACAAGGGAACUCUUUGGGGUGCCAGAAAUGUCCUCUAUCUUGACUAGGGUGAUGGUAACCCAUAUGUAUACAAUUGCCAAAACUCAUUGAACUUAAGACUUGUGGGUUUGACUAUAAACUUUUAUACCUCAAUAAAGAAAAAGAAAGAUAAGGAAGAAUCUUGGGCAAAUAUGACAGCCAAAGACCAAGCUGAGGAGGGGGGAUGAAGAAAAUUUAAAAAAGCAUAAAAUGCUCAGCUAAGACAAACCACACACUGACCCGGAGCUUUACAGAGAGGGGAUACCAGGCUUGGCCCCAUAUACCAGCCUCCCCCAGUGAUCCCCUUGUGCAGGCCCUCAGUUAAAUCCAAGAGGACUGGAUCCUUAAAAGGGUAAUGCAAUCUUAAGAUCCUGCUGGGACCCACCAUCUACCAGACUCUGUCUUCUUGGAUGCUGUUACUGGGCCAUGUUAGUCAGGCGCUGCAUUUUCUGAGAGGGGCGGGGUGUCCCUUGGAGCCCGACAAGAAUCUGUGCUGAGUCAGGAAGGAAGCUGGAAGGCCUGAAGUUUCAAAUAGGUUAGGUUCCAAAAGUUUCUUUCUUCAUCACUGUCUGAGACUCAGAAUGUUGUCCCUCACAGCGACAAUGUUAAAAAUGGUCAAGGUUUCAAGUUUCUCUUCCCCCCAAAACGUAUUAAAUGUCUACUCAUAAGAUAAAGAAUCAUAGGCUUGGUAGAAACGUAAGUGUGUUGAAUUAUACUAGUUGUGUGCCAUGAAAAGCAAAACCCCUCCCCCACCCCAGCAAAAAAAAAAAAAAGUACCUGUUAUCUGCCAGGCACUGUGUUAGCUUUUGAUAUUCAAAAAUGAGGGGCGCCUGGGUAGCGCAGUGGUUAAGCAACUGCCUUCGGCUCAGGGCGUGAUCCCGGCGUUCUGGGUUCGAGCCCCACAUCAGGCUCCUCCACUAGGAGCCUGCUUCUUCCUCUCCCACUCCCCCUGCUUGUGUUCCCUCUCUCGCUGGCUGUCUCUCUCUGUCAAAUAAAUUAAAUAAAAUCUAAAAAAAAAAAUGAAAAAAAUCUCGUGAUCUCUUCCCUCAAGCAGCUCACCGUCUAGUAGAGGAAGAUGACAUCGUAAAUACAUAAGUGCAAUUGAGUUUUGUAGGUCUGGUGAUAGAGGUUGUCAUAAUUAAAGAAAACAGAAAAAUAGAAGUGAAUGCCUGUUAGCAGGGGAGAACACAUUUUGAAGCAGGGAGAGCUGUUGGGACAAGGAGUUCGGUGAAGCUUUGUGGAGAGACUCUAAGGUCCUGGGGCACUUUGUAGGGCAGUGGUCCUAGAUCUGAUUCUACUUCACAGUGUAGGUCUUCUCUUUUCUUUUUUCUUUUAAGAUUUUAUUGAUUUAUUUGAGACAGAGAGAGCAUGAGCAGGGAGAGGGGUAGGGAGAGAGAGAGAAGCAGACUCCCCGCUGAGCAGGAAGCCCAACAUGGGGCUCGAUCCAGGACUCCGGGAUCAUGACCUGAGCUGAAGGCAGCCUCUUAACUGACGGAGCCACCCAGGCGCCCCUAUGUCUUCCCUUUUCACGGCAGAGCAUGACAGGUGGACUUCUCAGUCCUGUUUGGGGUCGGUUGGUUUAGACUUUCAAAUUAUUUGAAGGGAGUAGAAGUGAGCAAUACCUACAAUUCCAAAGGGAAAAGGAACGAAAAUUUGGAAGAUAUGUCAAUCUUGGAGAAGGCUUGUCAGAGUGGUGAGAGAGGAAAAAGCAUAACCCCCAACACUGGAGAAGAAAGAAGGGCCAUUCUGCAUACCAGCCAUCAGUUGGUGAAGUUGGGCUAGGAUAGCUUGGUUGCCUUCUGGAAAGCAGAGUGGGUUAGUAGAUGUCACCCUCAGAGGUAUAGCACCACUUAAAAAUCACAUACUUGCAGUAUUUGGGGAUCAUGUAGUCAUUCAACCAACGUAGUGCAUUUACCAUUUAUAAGGACAUUUGCAACUGACCAGCAAUUAACAGGGUUAAAAGAUCUAGUGGAUCAUGAUCCUUGCCCUGAAGGAUUAUUUGGGGGAACUAGAUAACCAUUAUUUAAUGUGCCCAGACAUAAAAUCUCCCAUGUUUUUUCCUCCUUAUGCUGUUCUAUCAGCAAGUCGAGGGUAAUAACAAUGCAGGGUCUACUGACCUCACACAAUUAUUCUGAGGACAGAAUGUUAUUAGGAAGUAAACAUGCCUUUGUAAAGUUCUGGCAUUAGACAAGCAUUAAUCGUUAAAAUGGUUUUCAGCUGUGUCCUCCCCUUGCUGAUCAAUUUUUCAUUCAACAAAUUCACUGUGUAGAAUAUUGAAAAAAUUGGAAACCAUCCAUGGGGGACUGGUAAAAAAUCAUGUUGCUUCUGUACUAGAGAAAAUUGUGUCAUUAUUAAAAUGAUGGGAGUAGCUAUCUAUAUGUCGUAUCACAGGAAGAUCUCCAAGACCUGUUAAAGAGGGAUGAAGCAAGUUCCAGAACAAUAUAUAAUAUGAUCCCAUUAAUAUUUAAAACAAACACUUACCUGCUUGUAUUAUUCACACGCUAAUAUACAGUGACGUGUAUAUACUUAAAUGAGAUCUUAAAGAAAAAUUCUGGAAAGGUUCGCAAGUGACAACAGUGCUCCUUCAAGUACACAUUCACGGGAGCAAAGGGGGGCUGGUGGGGAAAUGGUGUGGACCAGGCACGUUUACUGACUCCAGUGUAUACAAGUAUACAAUUUAGACCUCUUGAUUGUUCCAUUUCUGGCCAUAACAGUGCAUUGGUGUAUGGCUUGUGUAAUUAAACAAGGUGUAUGCAUGUGGGUACAACUGAGUUAUAGCAAUAUGAUUAUGGAUGACAAUUGUUGCUCUUUUAAUCUCCUUUAAUGUUGUUU